GAUUAACGCUAGCGGCAGGCAUAAUACAUGCAAGUUGAACGGCAGCACAGGUAGCAAUACUGGGUGGCGAGUGGCGCACGGGUGCGUAACACGUAUGCAACCUACCCUAUACAGGCGAAUAACCUUUAGAAAUGAGGGCUAAUACGCCGUAGUAUUACAGAUGGGCAUCUAUUUGUAAUUAAAGAUUUAUCGGUAUAGGAUGGGCAUGCGUCCCAUUAGUUAGUUGGUAAGGUAACGGCUUACCAAGACGAUGAUGGGUAGGGGAUCUGAGAGGACUUACCCCCACACUGGUACUGAGACACGGACCAGACUCCUACGGGAGGCAGCAGUAAGGAAUAUUGGGCAAGGGCCGCGAGGCUGACCCAGCCAUGCCGCGUGCAGGAAGACGGCCUUAUGGGUGGUAAACUGCUUUUAUACGGGAAUAAUAGAGUGUACGCGUACAUUUAUGCAAGUAUCGUAUGAAUAAGCAUCGGCUAACUCCGUG
rnacentral:rRNA from 1 species